rnacentral:rRNA from 1 species
GUCUACGGCCACACCACCCUGAACGCGCCCGAUCUCGUCUGAUCUCGGAAGCUAAGCAGGGUCGGGCCUGGUUAGUACUUGGAUGGGAGAAAUUAGCUUCUGAGGGCCUACUGGAAGCCAGGGUACAGAAUUCA